rnacentral:SRP_RNA from 1 species
GCUGGGCGUGGUGGUGCACGCCUGUAAUCCUAGCUACUCGGGAGGCUGAGGUAGGAGAAUCACUUGAACCUGGGAGGCGGAGGUUGCAGUGAGCCGAGAUUGCGCCGCUGCACUCCAGCCUGGGCAACAGAGUGAGACCCUGUCUCAA